UUCCACCGGGCUUACCUUUUCAGUCNUGUGUCAUUGCUUGUAUCGCAUUGAAUGCAUGGUGGGUUUCUUGUGUUGCAUGCCUUAAUUGAUGGUAUCAUUUGAAGAAUUGAUGUCCCUUUUCAUCUUGUGUCGCACAUGCGAUGUGAGAUGAACCUUGAAGUAGCCUUUGUGAUCCACUCUUUUGAUGUACACGCAUUGAUUUUGUGGCCCAUUGUGUGUUGCUUGGUCUCAUGGAUAUGGAACUUGGUGUGGGCAUGGGAUCUUUACCAGUUCCUUGUUUGCCCUAGUUAAGCUUUUCUAAUACGAUUGUUUAUCACAUUUUAAUGUGGUAGGCUAUAUCGGA
rnacentral:misc_RNA from 1 species